rnacentral:rRNA from 1 species
AGAGUUUGAUCCUGGCUCAGGAUGAACGCUGGCGGCGUGCCUAAUACAUGCAAGUCGAGCGAACUGAUUAGAAGCUUGCUUCUAUGACGUUAGCGGCGGACGGGUGAGUAACACGUGGGCAACCUGCCUGUAAGACUGGGAUAUCUUCGGGAAACCGAAGCUAAUACCGGAUAGGAUCUUCUCCUUCAUGGGAGAUGAUUGAAAGAUGGUUUCGGCUAUCACUUACAGAUGGGCCCGCGGUGCAUUAGCUAGUUGGUGAGGUAACGGCUCACCAAGGCAACGAUGCAUAGCCGACCUGAGAGGGUGAUCGGCCACACUGGGACUGAGACACGGCCCAGACUCCUACGGGAGGCAGCAGUAGGGAAUCUUCCGCAAUGGACGAAAGUCUGACGGAGCAACGCCGCGUGAGUGAUGAAGGCUUUCGGGUCGUAAAACUCUGUUGUUAGGGAAGAACAAGUACGAGAGUAACUGCUCGUACCUUGACGGUACCUAACCAGAAAGCCACGGCUAACUACGUGCCAGCAGCCGCGGUAAUACGUAGGUGGCAAGCGUUAUCCUGAAUUAUUGGGCGUAAAGCGCGCGCAGGCGGUUUCUUAAGUCUGAUGUGAAAGCCCACGGCUCAACCGUGGAGGGUCAUUGGAAACUGG